UCCCUGUGGACUCUGGGCCUACUCUCCCUUUCCAUCUGUUGUAACCUCUGAGGUCUUAGAAUGGAGGUCAACGGGCAUCCAAGGUCCUGGCCUCAGAGCGAGCCUUAAGAUAGCUUUGCAAUAUGCAAGGUGCUACCUUUCUCUCCCCAGGUAGGCAUCUGGCAGCUGUUUUGUUGACAAACACUGUCCCUGCCAAUGGAUUGUCUAAGAAUGAGAACAAGGAGAGGGAACCAAGUGGAGCAAGGAAGACCCGGAUUCUAGCAUAAGCUUGCCACCUAUGUGCAAAGUAAAGAGAAAAGGGGAGAGGACUUGGCUCAGGGGUGCGGCCGCCAGCAGCUCUCCCAUCCUUUAUGAACUGCGUCAGUAAAGGAGACUCUCAGGCGGAAGGACUGUGAGAACAAUGCAGGAGGAGUGGCCAUGGCCACCAGAAGACAUGACACCAUGUGCAGACAAGGACGACAAGUUAGUGAAACAGUCUUCACAGAAAAGGGGAACACAGGCUGAUACCAACGUGGGAACACUUGGCGGAGAGCGUUCUCACCUGCUGCCAGGUGAGUGCAGCCAGGUUGGCGACAUCUCCCAACUCUGCUGAAGGGGAUACCCCACCUCCUGGUACCACCACCACCACCACCACCACCACCACGCAACCCUCCCUCUUGCUGGCGAGGAGCGGCCAGGCAGCCCUGAAGACCCAGAAAUGCCAGAAGCGGGACGCCAGGCAGCAAGCAGCCUAUCUGUGUGCACUUGAUGCAGAGGUCAGAAUGAAGUGGUCACAAUGGUAAGAUCUAAGACCUGCUGCUAAGUCAGAAUCACAUGCGAAUUACGGCAUUUGUAGAAAAAGCAAAACCAACGUAAUGUAAAUAAACACACAGAGCAACGGAAAGGAUCUGGAAAAAUUUGAACUCUUGUGUUGGUGUGGACGUAGGACCGGGGACGGGAGCCGAACAAGCUGGGUUUGAAAUAAAUGAGAUCUGAAAUAAAUGUAGACACACACAUAUCUAUAGUGAUGAGACCGUAUCUGUGUAACGCUCGCCUCAUUAAAAUGAAAAACACGAACACAUCACCAGCUUAAAACGAAGCUCGGCCCGUCUCACGUUCCCAGCAUUUAUUUCAGAGAACUGAUUAUAGAAUGGCUUGCUCUGGAUUUUAUAGCCUAGACCCCG
rnacentral:lncRNA from 1 species